UCGAGCUGAUGUGGCGCGAUCUCGGCCGGCCGUUUGUCCAGGGCGCUGAGGCCCUCCCACAGACCCACUUUUUAUCCAUGGGUCGUGUGAAAGCCCGCUCGGCCCAGACUCUCGCGUCGGGCGUGGCUUCCUCUCCAAUCCCGUCGCUCCCUCUCCCCUUCCAAUCCCGCAGAUGCAGCCGCCGCCUCCCCAGCUCCCUCUCCCUGCUGCCGAGCUCGCCUUCAGCCGCCGCUCGCCCCGCAACCGCGUGUCGUCGGACGGCGGAGAUGGCUGGGGCGGGCGGGAGAGCGCCGCCCAAUCCCCUCACGCUUCGCCUCCUCUCCCAAUCCCACCACGUCUCUCCUGCUCCUCCCUCCUCUCCCUUGGCAAGAAGACGAAGGGGGACCGGCAGAUCGAGCGGGCGACCAUGCCGGGAUGCGGAGAAGGGGGGCGUUGGGGCGGCGCUUGCUGAGCAGGAGGGCGUCCCUCGUGCUCCUCGUGCGCCGCCACUCCUCGUCGCGUCCGUCGUCCUUUCCGGCUGCUGCUCCUCCAACUCGACCACUUCGCCUCGUCUCCCCCGGCCGUGAGGAUCUCCGCCCUCUCCUUCGCGAGCGGAGGCUGCACAUCCAGCCGAGGUUCCAGGGAGAUGCAGGUCCAAGCUCCUAUGCCUUCCUCACCUGGCCAUCUCUGCGUGCACGGAGACCGUCCGGCCGGGCAGGUUGUUGAUUGAUUGCCGCUCGUGUUGCUGCUGCUUCUCAUCUUCAUUCUACCCUCCAUUCAUUCAAUGGAGGAGCACAUUUGAUUAACGAGGUCAACAAUCCAGGCCAAGAAAGGCAGCCUGAAAGGAGGUUUAACCAGGCAUUACUUGUCUCUGAGUUGGUAAAAGCGACCCGACGAGGACGCAGAGGGAUGGAGGAGGAGGCGGUCCUGUUCGCCGUCGAUGCCCGGGCCAAACAAAGAGGCCCCGUUGUGCACGUCGCCCACGAGCAGCCGCCAAACCCUACCAGAGGGAAACACCAGCGGCAGCUCGACCGUGAUGUCCAGCCGCCGGUGAGAACUAGGAGGAGGACCCAGAUAAGGAGAUGCAUGGGCAGAAUGCAGAAGAGAAUGUGUGUGGGGAAGAAGAGGAGACCUUAGACCAAUUGGAUCAAUACCUGAUUUUCUGGGUCAAAUGCCAUCACUUAAAUUUAAAUUUCUGUAUGUGUUACUGUAUGGAAAGAAGAGGAAAUCCAUAGCAGACUACAGAACAACAGCAACUGCAGCUCAGUCUGCACUGACUUAGUUUCAGUUUAUCCUACAUCUAUGAAUUUUUUGUUAAUCAUUUGAAUUGCAUGGCUCUGGCCAUGGAGUUGCUGGGAGGCGAUAAUGAAGCUUGCCAUGUCCAGCUCGACGAUGACCGUCUUUUCAGAUGGAUACAUGGAGCUCAGGCCAUGGAUUUGCUGGGAGGUGAUAACGAAGCCUACCAUGUCUGGGUUGUUCUGUCCCCAUCCCUUCCCUCCAAUUCUGGAUUCAAUUCAUAUGUGCAAUCCAGAUGUGAGUUGACACUUUCAUGUGUUAUGUGUUCUCUGCUUGUUUGGUGACUAGGGAAACAUCAAACAUGACAUUCAGGCCAGCAAGGAGCACGAUAUGUUCAAUAUUAUGGCAUAAGAGGUGUAAUACUGACUCAUAUUGUUUGGGAUGAUUAAAUUCAGCCUUGCGUGCCGAAAUGACCCAACUGCUUUGAUGGGUACCAAUGUAUAAAGUGCAUGGGUUGCCCUCUUCGUUUCGUCUUGCUCCGUGGCAAUAUGGUUUCUGAUGCAUGUUUUGCUUAUCAUUACCAUCACAUGAUUCCUGCUUAUCUAAUUCUGCUAUAGAAUAUGAGUUCAGCACACUAUCGUUCCUCUGUUGAAUUUCAGUUGACCCAUUGAAAGUGGUGGUGAACAAGAGGAGCAUACUCGUGUAAGCAAAGAAUGACAGAGGGUGGCCAGAAACUGAUAGUUUAAACCUUGAAUACAGCUUGUGUUUUCCCCUUAUGUUUAUAGCUGUUACAUAUUCUGCAAUCCCUAAAAGAUUUUGUUCAUACUGUAGAAGAGCUGCCUUCUUGCUGGCUUCUUUUCAGUAUGAUCCAUUGAUAUAUUGCUCUAGCUUCUUAUGCAUUUGAAAAGUAGUUAUAUUCAUAGAGAUAGAGCAAGGGUGUGCAAGAAGUGAUUGUAUAAUCUGCAGCAUUGCAAUAUUAUUAUCACAUUCUCUCUGUAAGAAGCGUUUGUGUGGAGGUUGCAACCUGUACAAUAGAUACCGUGUCUGCUGUACUAUUUUAGAUUCAGUUUCAAAUCAGCCUACACAUUGCACAACCAAAACACAUAGAUAUAUGCAAUCUAUUGGUUUUACUAUUGUGCUUUAUUUGGAACUGAAUAAUUUGCUUUUGUCUUUUCAACUUAGGGCAAUCAGCCACUUAUGAAGGUGGCAACAGCAGAAGGUGCCGACGAGAAAGAGCAUGGGCUGCCGCUGGCUUUAGCACGACUUCGGCUGUACUGACAGACAGCGAGAGACUGCUGUUCUGCUCGCCAAGUGCUCGCAACACAAGAACAAAGCCAAGAAAUUUGCUACUCGAGCUGUAACUACUCAAGCAUUGACCCUUUUAGUGUUUUCUUUACUUUUUGAGGUUUAUCAUCAGGUCUGUACAUGCCCUGUUUUGCAUAAUGCAUCCCAUGCUUUGCUUGAUCCGUUGUUAUUCUGCUUCUAAGCCAAACGUUCUUCUAUUAUUGGCCCUCCUCUUAAAUUUUGUCACUUUGAAUGUAUAACUGAGUGGUAAUUAAUUGCAAGGUGAUACCAUUAUGAUAAAACUGAAUUUGUAAUAUCUAAUUUAUGCCACUUUAAAUGUAUAACAAUUUAGAACAAAUUUCUUCUUGCAAGAAUGGUUAGAAUAACUGAAUUAUGGUAAAAUUGAUAAUGUGUCGUUGUGAAUGCCGGACUAAGACAUUUCAGAUUGGGGCACUUAUGCCCUUCAUAUUCCUCUGUUUCGCUCUCUCUAUCGGUAGCUCACUAUAUGCCAUUCAUAUUCCUGGACCUAUUAGGAUCCAAAGCUGAUGCUCCAACCAUGAUUUCACUUUCUAAUAUUUUCUUUGCAUCUGUGUUGUCACUUGGUCUAGCCAGUACUUCACUGUGCUUACGUCAAUAGGUCUUACAGUGAUUGAACAAUUCUUGGUUAAACACAUAUAUUCAUAUGGCCAUUAAAUCUAUUUGCCUAAAGAUGGUAUGUAUUUGAGUUUCAUGGAAAAGCAUUGGUGCCUAUCAUAUAUGAGUCAGUUUACUUUACUAGGUUAUUCAAACUCUUCAAAUGGUAUUUGAUUUUGUAAAUUGUAUUUGUCUAUUAAAUAUGCAUAUUGGCAUUCAAGUUCCUCUAGGAUAUUUAGCUAACGAAGUUUCACUACCUUGUCUAUUAAAUAUGCAAGUUGACACAAAGUCGAUCAUAACAGGCCUUUCUAUAUUGGUUCCAUUGCACUCAUAAGCAGAACCAAUUUAUGUCCAAUACAGGAUUGGCAGCGUAGAACAUGGUCAGGAGGCCAAGAUUAUCACUUUAGAGUAUACUUGGUCUGCUUUCAUAUUCUGGUUGCGGUUACGCGGACUGCAGGAUUGGAUCAAUCUAUGUAGCAGCAAGAGAUUGAGGCAAUCCUUGGGAUUAUGCAAUAAAAUUGACAAAUUCAGUUCUUUCAUAUUAGGCUUCAGUAAUCCAGGGCAACCUGACAGCUCUUCCCUCUACACAUUUGGGUCAGGUGAUCGAUUGGAGAUUGAACAUGGCUUGCAACGACGGUUCAGGAUUGGGUCGAUCUAUGUACAUGCAGGAGGUUGAGGCGCUCCUUGUGAUUAAGCAUCAAAAGGGACAAACUCAGAAUUGUAGAUUAUUUCCAUGUUGUUUAAAGAGACAGGACAAUAAAAAGUUAUCUCUGUUCUCGAAAGUUAAAUGGACCUUGAGCCAUUUGAUCCAAUUUCCGUGGACAAAUUUAUGUUGUGGAACUUGAUGGGGUCAAAUCCAUGUGCCUCCAAAUCAUAAAGAAGAUGGUGUUUAAUAUAAGAAUGGGCAUACAUCUUGAUGUUCGCGCAGGCAUUGAAGAUUUAGGGUGGGGGUGCUAUCGUUAGUAGGCAAAGGGCAUUAGUAUGUGUGUGGCGGGAAUGUUUUGACAAUAACUACCAAGAAGAAAGAACUUCUCAGGUUUUCAUCACCUGUGUGAUUAUUAAAAGUGCUCUCCUUGGUUAAUUUUUCUGGCCUCCGGGAGUCAUUUCUGGAUUUAACGAGUCAUUUCUGGAUUUAACUACAUUCGUAGGGAUUGCCAUACAAAUUAUGAUAGUUUCAAAAUGACUUCAUCUCCUUAAUCCCAACAUAUCAAUAAAGAAAAAUUUACCCAGUGGUGUAGUGUGGCUAAUCAAUUGUAGGUGGUUUAAAAGCCCUUGAUGGUAUUAGUGCACCCCUAUGUACUUGACAAUUCCUUCCUUAUUUUUCUCUGUAGCACCUUUAGUUCAUUUAUAUGACAGUGGUAAUUCAAGGAGACGACAAAUAUUAUUGCAUAGUCUACAUUAAAUAUGUCAAAAGGUGUUACUUUUAUGGUCUCAAUUGCAUAAACAGUUAUAUUUGGCACACCGAAGGUAUAUAUUUUAACGUACUUUUAUGGUCUCUUUACGUGACUACAGAAAACUUGGCGAUGGCUACUAUAUUGUUUACGUUGCCACGUAAUUGCCGAUGGAUCAUGUCUAUUUCCUCUUUACGUCGCCACAUAAUUACCAAUUUAUCACAUUAGGCAAACUCUUCUACCCGUGACGAGAUUGGUUCAGUUCUUCGUACCUCAACAUUCCUUGCAUGUGUUUCAAGCCUAGAUUCAUUGACGCAGGGGGCUCGGUGUCACGUCUGGUGGCCAAGCACGAAGUCAAAGCUACACAUGCUGCUAAUGGAGACUUGCAACUUUCAUAUAUUUUCCAUUUUACUCUAUUUUCCUCCACUAUUAACAGGUUGGAGCUAUAUGGCAGCCAACAAGUUCAUUAAUAUCUCUGUUACGGCCAUCGCUAUCUUCCAUUUCACAAUAUGUGCCUUCUUAUAAUGUUAUCAUGCAGAUGCCAAUUCAUUUCUCUGUCCAUAUAGCUUUGAGAAGGUCAGCAUAGCUGUUUGUUUGAGGCUCAACGGUGAUACCAGCCUUUGAUUGAAGCUUUGCUUUUUUGUUUUCCCAGGAGCCUUAGCUUUUAGUGUUAUUAAUUUAUCAUGGAUGUUUGUUUUGUGUUCUUCACAUUCCAUGGACUACAAAGAAUAUGUGUUAUUCCAUUUAUAGUCGUUUGGUACAUCUAAAGUGGAGACCAGUGAAACAUCUAUAUGCAUUUGUUCAUGUUAUGUGUGAUAUAUUUCCCUACAUUCUCUAUAUCGAGUUGUAUGCUUAA